rnacentral:rRNA from 1 species
GACGAACGCUGGCGGCGUGCUUAACACAUGCAAGUCGAACGGAAAGGCCCUGCUUUUGUGGGGUGCUCGAGUGGCGAACGGGUGAGUAACACGUGAGUAACCUGCCCUUGACUUUGGGAUAACUUCAGGAAACUGGGGCUAAUACCGGAUAGGAGCUCCUGCUGCAUGGUGGGGGUUGGAAAGUUUCGGCGGUUGGGGAUGGACUCGCGGCUUAUCAGCUUGUUGGUGGGGUAGUGGCUUACCAAGGCUUUGACGGGUAGCCGGCCUGAGAGGGUGACCGGCCACAUUGGACUGAGAUACGGCCCAGACUCCUACGGGGGGCAGCAGUGGGGAAUAUUGCACAAUGGGCGGAAGCCUGAUGCAGCAACGCCGCGUGCGGGAUGACGGCCUUCGGGUUGUAAACCGCUUUCGCCUGUGACGAAGCGUGAGUGACGGUAAUGGGUAAAGAAGCACCGGCUAACUACGUG